rnacentral:lncRNA from 1 species
GGAUCAGCAGCCCAAAUAAGGGAUUUUCCCAGUGCAGGUAUAUUCAACUUCUGAGCCCCUCCGAGCCAAAGGCAGAAAGCCCAGCCAGCAUUCAAACGAAGCCUCAAGCAGUGGUUCCCACAGCGCAGCAACCUGGCAAAGGGGAUGCAGCAAGGAAAACCACCGUCACCUCUCCGCUGGGAAGUGCUGAGCAAAGUCGAAUCCCCAGGCAACGCGGCCGAUUUGAUCAGCACAAGGCAUGCAAGCUCCACCCCCCAGUCAUUCUUAGACUCCUUAUUGGGUGAGCAACACAGCCAAGCAACACAGUUGGAGCCUCCCUCCUCCCUGGCUGGCAGGGAGGGAGGGAGAGGAGCUGCUUCCUUUGAAACCCGGGAAAUUUAAGGGACAUCAUCAAUAAGGGACAGCAGCGGGACACAGCACUGGGAUAAGGGACUUUCCUGCCAAAUAAGGGACGGUUGACAGCUAUGACUUGUAGGAAAAUACAAUAGUUCAACUUCAGACAUUGCCUUCUUGUUUCUUCUGUGUAGUGAAGACUAGGCAAGUGUUCAACUAGUCAUGGGUUAGUGAUACAGUCUUGUGGUCUGUGCUUGCCACUUGUCCUUCAAAAGACAAAUUUGAGUGCACUGGCCAAGCAAAACUUACUCAGACUUCCAGAGCAGGUAUCACAGAGCAUCCUUUGAGACUGAUGAAAUCUGCAGCUUCUUGAUCAGCUCAAGUAAGGUCAGUUUUAUUUUUUCUGUAACGCAACCCCAGGAUAUUAAUUUUCCUCUCAUUAGUUUGCUCUUUGUGUUCAGUUCAUUUGUAUUAUCCUCAUUUGAUCAAGCCAAAGUCUGUUUCAUUUUUCUCUCGUAAUAUUAAUGCUGCUAAAAAGACAUUCCUGCAUAGCUGAUUGAUUAACAGGAGGAAAAUGAAUGUUGUUGUUUUUAGAUGUCACAAAUAAGAGUUCUUCACACAAACAGAAUGUACAGUAUUCAAUGCCAUAAGAAGGUGCAAAAAAAAUCAGUUUGUAAUUUUGUUUUCAGUCAAUUGCUUUAUCAAAUGUUUGAACAUUUGUUGUUCAUUCAGUAUUCUUUAAAAGCCCUUAAGUCCAUUUUCUUUGGAAUUUCCCAUUAACACAUGUGUUUGGCAAAUAAUAUGGGACCAAUUUUAUGUGACUGGAUAUGUGACUGAAUCCCAUAGGAUGGGGUUUGGACAGGUAACAGCAGAUGCAGGGCUUUUUUCAGCCAGAACUCGCCAGAACUCAGUUCUGACACCAUUGCUAUUCUAAGAGAACAAGAGAGGCGUUCAUGGUGAGUUCCAGCACCUCUUUUCCUAGAAAAAUAGCACUGAGCAGAUGUCUGAUUUUUAUGUGGUAUCUAUCAUAGAUAAGAAAACAUUAAUAAACUAGCCGAUAUCUAGAAAUGCUUUGCUUGUAUAUGAUGAAAUUAAUGUACUUAUUACAUAGAUAAUUUCAUAAUCUCUGGAUCGAUACAAUAUUUUAACCUUCAUUUAAUUGCAACUAUCAGCCAGCAGCAAUGUUUCAUCAGGGUCCACUCCACCAGUUCUGCUGAGAGGCCAUCAAUAUAUAAAAUUGUGGCCAUAUCUGUCCACACACAAGCAGAACAGACUUCUGUUUACACAAGUAGACCUCAGCUUCUUCUCCCCUGCCUGUAGCUCCAUGUCCUUUACAAUCUGCUUUGGGAGACAAUUAUGAGUACAUGAAAUUAAUAGCUUCUGAGUCAUUUCUUAAAUACUGGGAGGGAUUGAAGAGAUAAAAUCUCAACUGAGAGAACAUUGCAUGAAUUAAAAAGCAAUCAAAGAAGUGCAGCUGGUUCACACAUACCAUAACAUGGGCAUUCCAGAUGCGCAUCUCUGGAGUAAGCCAUGGUUUCUCAAUGCCAUGUGGGGUUUGGAAGACACUCCAUGCUGCUACUGGUGGACUCAGAAGGUCCACAUGCAGCUGACAUUCCUAGCUCCUUCUCCUCCUGGAGAUAAGACUUGGUGAAUUGAAUUGCCUCGGGAAAGAUUGCAGAGACACAAGGAAUAAGCUCAUACAAUCAGGCCGCUUCAGUGGGCACACAGUUGCAAUGAUGGACUAGAUUUCAUUUAGGGUGUGUGUUGUGUUGUGUGUGUAACAACUCCCCUUUCUUCCCAUAUGACUAAUCUAAUGGAAAAAACAUUUAAACAUUUUAUGGAACAAAUUGUAUUAUUUUCAAGCUUAGCCACCAUCUGAAGAAGUUAGUGGAAAUUAAUCUUAAAGAUUAAAGUAUAGCAAAUGUGUGUUUAUUAUACCCUAAAAGACAAAUUAUCAGUAUUUCCGAGACAGUUUAUAAUUCGGAUGAACAGUACACAUUUUUGUGAGUCUUCUCUUGCUCUCUUUACCAGUUUUAGCAGCACAGAGAACGUGCUUAUUCUAGAUUUACUGUUUGUUACAUGAAGCAUGUAGUUUAGAGUCAGGAACUGUCGUGUUUCAAUUUUACUGACAAUAUAUGCCACUGAUUUUACCUUAGCUUAUACAUUUAUGUUAAUGAAUUCCUCUUAUACUGGCAGACAAGUCCACUUAGGAACAAAGUUUGUUUUAUCAUGGAUUGUUGUCAUAAUGAGAGAUUUACUGCCAGCCAUUUGUCUUUAAAAUUGCUCACCUGAAACAGACAAAUGCCUUCUUGCCAUGUGGAGGCCUUUUUAUUUUGUGCGCAUUAUCAGCAAGGAGAAUGGAUUACAAGACUUGUUUAUGCAAAGGCUCGUGGUCAGAAAUUGAAGCAUUUUUGUGUGAAUGCAUGAAACAUUGCAAUGAUAUGUUUUUGUGAAAUGUCACCAGAAAAGGAGAUAGUAAAAAUAUAGACUUCCAGAAGGCUCUUUAAAGUGAAGGAUAGCCCAUUACUAAAGAUGUAUUUUGACAGCUGCCUAUCUUCUGAUUUUGAAUAAAACAUUUGCUCAUUUUUAAUGUUUUUUUCAACACAGUUUAUAUAUAUAUAAUACAAUACUGUAGCUAUGUCUUUAAAAUGAUAGUGGUUUGGAGAAAAGAUGCAUUAAUCUUCCCUUUCACCUGUAAAAUGUGAAUAGAGAUCAGCUUCCUGAAGCCAGUUAAACUGUCAGCUUUAAAGUUGACAUGGCAAGGGAUUCAUGUUCAGAUAUUCUAGAUGCAAGCUGCCUGCGAUUCAGAGAGCCACCCAAUUAGUUCCCCGUGCUAUGGGUGGGCUAGUGUACCUCAAACACCACAUCCCAUUUGCUGUAUAACAAGCCUCCUUUGAAUUCUGGGUCAGUUUCCAAACCAGUGCAUGUGUGUUUUUUAAUACUGAAUGAAGGUUUACGGUUAAGAACACAGAGAAGAGCACCUGCUGGGUCAGAUCAAAGACCCCAUUUAGCCCAACAUCCUGUUGUGAUUCGAGGACCUGUCCCCCCACUUGGGAAUAAUAAAGACACGUGGACACAAUUAUUAGGUUAAUGGGCUAGAAAAAGGCCACAACUUUAUUGAUUACAGCAUGUGAGAUGUAUUGGCUUAGGCACUGGACAACAGCAAAUCUUGACUCCACCCACUCGGAGAGGGGUGAGUCUAAUGAGGGUUAACCACCAGUAGGGGGAGCCUGUUAAUGCAAAUACAACUAUAAGCUCUCCCCUGAUGUCACUGGGGGUCGUGCCAUGGCCCCCAGCCAUGCAGGGCAUUGGGCAGGAUCCACGACCGCCGGAUUCCUUUAACGGAAUACCCAUAAGUGAAGGGGUAGGCAAUGGCCACACCUUGCCCUUCCAUACACCAACAACACAUUCCAAUGCCUAACCGCCAAUACCGAGAAAGUUGUGACGAUUGCUACGAGGUAGGCGAAAAAACCAAGAGGCCGGUGCCAAUUUGCCAAUUGGGAAAAAACUCCUACCAGGCCCCCUGGGCAACCAUGGCGACCAACCGUGGGUUCAUAGCAAGGUCAAGCGAGAAGUGAUGCACUAAAGGGAGUGGUGGGUGGGUGACUCGCAGAAAUCCGGCAGCGCAAUGGAGGGGAGAGCUGCCGCGGCCGCAUUUGAGCGGCUAAACCACGCCCUCGAGCUUCCCCCUGAUUGGAAGCCAAUCCGGGGGGCGUAGCGCGUCAGUGACAAUGGGAAGCAGGGGCCGGAACGCUCCCUGCGCAGCAUGGGAACCGGUUCCCGAUCACAACCCCUCUGUUAGGAUAUUUCCGUUCCACCUUAAAAGGGAGCAGGCUUUGUGAGUCACAGAGUCUGCGUAUUUCCUGUUCACAGGAAGUUUAUGUUUUGUCUAUGCUUUCGUUUCUCUCUCUGUGUCUGAGACACUGAAGCAGGCAGUCAUGUUUUCUUUGUUCUGAUCAACGCUGAAUAAACUUGUAAAUAAUGCUCUCCUGAGUGCAUCUUUUGCUGUGCAUUAUCUGCUGAUAGAGCGUGCAUCAGCUCUGGAAUGUGGCAAGCUAUUUCUGGAGCUCGUGUCGCUAAUUGCUGAUACUGCGUGUCUACGGGACAUCGAUGGACGUCCGGAGACGACGUGGAGUCAUGAUGGACUUUGUCUCCUUGGCAGUAUCCCAACACCCUCCCCUCCGGGAGGAGGAGAAGCUUUCUCACAGCAGCCAACUAGAUGCCAAUGGGAAGGAAAACAUGUACCAACUGAGUGCAGCAGCACUCUUAUUAAAAAGCAGAGUGGGGAGCGAAAAACCAUGAGAUGGGAACCUGCAGCUUAACAACUACAUUCAGCAACCAGCCUAUUUCCAUGUGGGUGGCAAGGAUGGGGAAAUGGGAGGAAAGGGGUGCAAGAAAGAAAGGAGGUGGC